UUUCUACAAUCAAACAAAAAAGUUUGGAUUCGGUGUUGAGAAUUAAAAGCGAAGUUGUCAAAUCAAGUUUCGUAAGCUAGGGGUUUGAGGCUAACAUGAAUCUGCACACAACAUCGAUUUGAACCAAAACUCUUUCAAGGGAAAAGAAUUCGAUGUCUAUGAGUACCUUCAGACUUUCAAUCCAGUACAAAGCGCCAUCGUCCCUUGGAUGCUGCUUCCGCUGUGUGUGGAGUCUCAUUUUGUGAAUUGUGAGGUUACUAUACGGAAGUCUUAUACUUCUACAUUUGUCAGAUGUUGAGAUUGUUCAUGAUGCAGAAGUCCUUUUCUUGGGGGAGGGCUUUCUUUUGUUCGGAUAUAAUUGUUUUCUGG